CGGCCCUCAAUUGUAUACAACUUGAGGUCCUCUUCUCCACCUCUUCCUGCUCAGUACUCCAUGUGGUUCCCUUCUGCUCUGUGCUUCACCCAUUAGUCCCUCCAUAUUACAUCCUCAGAACUGGAUACCACUGGGAAGUAACGUCCUUCAAGCCAGGCAACAGGACGCUGGAAGAAUAAUGUGGGUUUGAGGCAUUUUGAUCUUAAACUUCAAGGAAAUGGAAAAAGACCAGCAAUAUGGGACCAAGAGGAUUCAACAGUAAAGUAAGGACCAAAAAAAAAAUAAUGACCGAAUUAGGUGAAGAAGAAAGCCUUCCACAUAAUCAGCCAUAUGAAAUGCUGCUGACAGGUCUAAACUUCAUGUCACUUUUUACUGGUUCUUCAUUACAUGCAACUAAAGGAACAAAGAUUCCUGGUUUGGCCAAAAUCCAGAGGAACAGGACACAGGCAGGACUUGCCUCCAGGGCUUGCAGUGGGGAAACAUCUUCAGACCCAACUCCUUUGAGAAACCGGCUGUGCUCUCUGUAUUCCUGCCCACCAGUCUUCUCAUUUUAUAC
rnacentral:lncRNA from 1 species